CAGAUCUCGCGGGGCUCGGCUAUAUCUUCGCGACGAUACGUCGACGGCGCAUCCUCGCGAUCCCAGCCGGACGAUCUGCGUGUCGUUGAUCCGUUGCACGGCCGACGAAGCGGUGGAUCGCGCGAAAGGAUCAUAAUGGCUACCGCACAAUUGAACAGAGCCAGGACUGUGAAGAAGCUCGAGAAACCACGGCCGCUUAAGCUUAACCAGCGCAACUCGACCGUCGAUGGGCGGAUCACGACUGUAGAGGAUAUAGUGUCCUUAAUCGAUAAUGUUGCUAUGCAACUGACCAAUGGCUUCCAUGACCGAACGCUGCAAAUGAAUGUAAUCUCCAUGUGUAAUCAUCUGAAACUCUACGCCAAUCAAUUAGAAGCUAUUUACAAAGACCAGCUAGACCGAGCCUUUGUGGCGAUCAGGAAUGGGAGCCAAGACGACAGAUUAGAUCUGACGACCAGGGUUCAUCUGCUGGAACUCAUCGAGCUGCGAGCGAAACAAUGGCGUCACACCGACUCGAUGGACGUGUAUUACAUGCAAAAGUUGUCGCACCUAGACAAUCAAAUCGAGGCGGUACCCGACACACCGAACUCUUUGUCGUCCCCGUUACUGGGAAUGACCUCGCCCACCACGGCGCCAAUACUGGGACCCGGUGAAGUGAUCAAGAACAGCGGCAAGUUCGCGAAGCCGACGCGCAUACCGGGGAAAAAUUAUUGCAAAGACGAAAUCGUCAUUCGCAACAGCGACUCGGGAAAAGUGAUGGGAAUAAAAGGGCGGCGGGUUCACAUGAUAGAAGAGCUCAGCCAGACGAUCAUCUCCUUCCAGCGAGUAAACCCUGGAGCUAAAGAACGACUUGUCCAAAUCACGGGAACGUCCGAGGACAAGAUUCAUUAUGCGAAGGACUUAAUCAAAGAUACGAUACAACGAAAUGCAUCGCCAGUGAGGCUGGAGCAGAACUCCGGCGGCGAGAAGGGGGCCAUGGGUGGUUCCAGUUCCUCGCUGAAUAGCAGCGCGUCGGACGAGAGCAAUCGGCUGCAGCAUACUCAGCAGCACAAUUCUCGUCUGCGAUCCUCUCUCCUGCACAGUUUCUCCACCAACGACGCCAGCAUAGGCGAAUACAAGUACACGGUCACCGUCGGCAACCAAUCCCUUAAAAUUACCGGCUGCAAUCUCGACCUUGUCAGGACGGCGAAGUUGGUACUGGACGAGCACUUUCUGGGCGACUCCGAGAACUUCACCAGCGGAAUCGAAUACUUCAACUACGAGGACGACCCCAGCUUCUGCGUGACCACCACCUCCACCCCAAAUAUUCCCCGUACGCCGUUGUCGCCGUUGGACAACGUGAACGCUUCUUCCGCUCUGGGCCGAGAGUUGAGUGUGGAUAGCGCCGCGACUUCCUCGGAGAGCGAAGAAACUUACAAGCCCCGCCCGAUCUCCGAGGAGCAAGGCUUAACUCAACCAGUUCCAGAAACACGAGAACUCACGUACGAGUUUUUGCUGCUAUGCGCAUCGGGCCCGUACGCGAAGCGGCCCCCCGCCGACUGGACGCGCAUACAGAAGGAAUGUCCCAAUAUAGUUCGUAAGGUACCGCUAUGCGACAGGAACGCUAAUCACAUACCGUGCAAUACCUUCCGCAUUGGUUUCCCUUGCAACGCUGCGAUUUAAUACUCUCAUAGACGCACGCGUACACCGCAUACGCGAUAAUUCUCACCGUAAUACAUUAACUUCUCGCCGGGAGUGGAGAUUAGUGUUUGCGAGAUUGUGUGUGAUGCGAGUGUAUUACGUUUCUUAAUCGCACGAAUCCAGACGCUAGAUGAAUGACGCUGAGACUUGUCUUAUUUGACGAUUAACGAUUGAUUACUUAACCGAGUAAUUGAUUUGAGGAUAAUCGACGAAGACUAUUGGCAAGCGUGAAUCUGAAACGAUGAAUCUCAAUAUCCGUAUGUCGAGAAGGGAAGUUCAUCGUGGAAUCGACUCCUCGCGAUACGUGACGUUGCAAUUGAAGGACUAGAUAGGGGUUUCCUGCGGUAGAGUAGAGAGAAAUUUUAAGGAAUCACUUGAGACCAAAGAGAAUGCAAACCAAUCUCGUGACAUGUGAUAUUUUUUUUCUACACUUCGACGCGCUUAUACGAUUAUUUUCAAAGAGACGGCGCAUCGAGGAAAAAAACAAGCGAUUGAUUAUAUGAUUGCAUGCUCGAAGUGUGAUCCGGAAUAGGGGUUUCGCGUUGCGUUUGACUCGAGAAAGAAGCGCAGUCUGAAUGAAGACUGAAUCGACUUGUUACGUUAGGAUAGACGUUAAGUAGAUGUUUCGCAUUUGUAGCUCACGAGAGGAGUUACUUCGCGUAGUAUUCAGAGAUCUAGUUUAAAAAGCUUUUUUUAUAAUGAUUAUAUUUUCUUAUAUUUCUUGUUCCUAUAUUAUUAUUAUAGAAGAAUUUAUUUUGUUAUAUUUCUUGUUUCUAUCUCUCUCCUCUCUUCUUCGACUGUUAAAGCAUCAAGAUUAUUUACAAAUGAGAUGUGUUUGUGUCAUCUUGUGUACAAGAGACUAAUAAGACUAGUGUGUCCAACUCAUAUACGCGCUGUAUUAAUAAAUGCAUAUUACAUUAAACUUUUUCAUCGAGUCUUUGCUUUCUGCUGGCCCGCCUCCGAAGAGCGAGCUUUUAGUGAAGCGCAAAUUUACAGGGUGCUUUUUUCUCACCGGCGACUGUAGCAUGCUGUAGGAAAAUCUCAACGUGAGCUUGCAAAAUGAGAUGAUGUUUCCUAAACUAAACUGUGUACUUUAACCGAUAUACUAACGCUGUAAAAUACCCUUGAUCAUCAUCAUCAUCGGCGCGUUAGCACGUUACUCGGCAAGCGGAAAGGUACCGUGUAAACCAACGUGCCGGAACGCGUCGCACGUGUUUGCAUGUGCCCCCGAACGAGCAAAUCUAACACAUUUGGCUUUCCAAGCGAACCGACCGAAGCAUGACCCGCUUGUAACGUAACGAGAGGCGCCGAUUCGCUGGUUCGAACCGGAGGCGUACAAAGCCAAAUUAGCAGCUGCUGGUCCCGUUGCGAUACUGCCGAUUGGCGAAGCGGAAACCGACCCCGAGUGAGGCUGAGGUCAAGACCCGUCGUUUCUCUCCCGUUAUCCUUCACCCGUCUUGGUGGCAAAGAAUUCAGAGAAUGACGCGUGUGGUAGCGUUGUGCCGGUCGCCGUUGCGAGAGAUUUAACGGCGCGUUUCUCCGUUUCUUCACCCUCUCUUUGAGCAAGAAGGAUGCUCCCUCGAAGGGAAAGGCCCGCGGAGACGCGUGUGUACAAUUGCCGAUUGGUCUCUCGAGGAACGCGUCGCUGCUCGCAAAGCAUUUACGAGAUCCGCAGCUGAAUCCGCGAGUCGUCGUCGGACACGCGCUUGAGAAGCGAUCGAUUACGCUAGUCAUUAGAGUGAAAAAUGUUCUAUUUAUUUCGAGUGGGAAAACUAUAUGCGUACGCGAGAUCACACGUUCUGCUUGCCUUCCUGCAACCGGACCUGUUGCGCGAGUGCAGUUCUCGCGUGGACGAUUUCGAAGCACGGAGCCAAGAACACGUCAUAUCAGUUGUGUUAGUUUAAAAAGAAAGCUGCGAGAUUACACGCUUUUGUUGAAACCGCACACGUACAUACACACAUGCACAUACACACAUAUACACGUACACAGAAAGACAUCUGUUAAUUUUUUCGUAUCGAUACAUAGUUGCGAUAAGUUAGUAGCGGUAGACCGAGUUAGGAUUUGCGUUUUUGAAGACGGAGAGGAACAUCUUUUUUACGAACGAGAUCACGUAAUUGCGAUUUCGCUGCUCGUUUAAUCAAAUCGGAGGGGGAUGUGUCUCGGUCUUGAUAAGGAUUAAUCGUGAAAGACUAAUACGUACUUUAAGGGGAGAUUACGAUGAGGAGUGACGCGUUACAAGAACGGUUCUCGGAUUUUGUAACACGACUUGUAAAUAGCUACUGUGGGGGGGGUGAUUCCGAGUUUCUUUCGCGAUUUCGGGGGGGGUUUUGAAUUUGCGUUUUACGGAGAAAGAUUGAACCGUGAUUUAGCAUAGUCUAGUCUACCUAUCUGAAUGCAUAGGAACUACCGUUCUGAUAUUUUUAUUCUGCUGUGACGCAAUAACCAAAAAACAAAAAAAAAGAGAAGAAAAAGGAUAGAUUUAUAUUUUAUAUAUAAUACAUUAAAAGCGUUCUCGCGCUGCGUGCAGUAUAUACGUGAGGAUGAGGAUUACCUGACAGCGCUAACAUCUUUUUUUGUUUCUUAUAAUUUCGCAUCACGCAACCGUGGCACAUCGUGAGAACAGUUUCUCACAUACUAAACUUUGUUGCAUCUUUUUUCUACGGUUUUUUAGUUUAAUCUCUUGAUGCGAUUCUUGUUCUGCUGUUCUGAGAAACUCAGAAACAUAUGCAGCGCAUUAUCUUUAUUUGAUACGUUGAAUGUCGAGCAAGAAUUUGAAAGAGGGGAAAGACACUUUCUUAUUCCGCGAUAUUGUUAUUUUUUGCUAUAAUCGCAUAAUCAAUCACUUGGCCUCUGACACGCGUUUUUGCGAGCAAGAAACGCAACUUCCUCGUGCACCGUGGAAUUUUACUGUACAACUUGUCUGAAACACUUACGUUCGUUUUUAAGUUUUUACACAAUUUAAUAUUUAUUACGGAUUUAUAUACACUCUAUUAUUAUUAUUUACUUCUCGAUUAAAUUAUGUAUAAUUUAUUUCUAUUGUCUCUAACUAAUUGCGCAGUAAUAAUGAUACUACUACAUUGUAUUAUUGUACUUUGUCGUUUAUAAUAUAAUAAAUCAACAAAGUCGGACACGUA
rnacentral:misc_RNA from 1 species